rnacentral:rRNA from 1 species
GAUGAACGCUGGCGGCGUGCCUAAUACAUGCAAGUCGAGCGAACAGACGAGGAGCUUGCUCCUCUGACGUUAGCGGCUGACGGGUGAGUAACACGUGGAUAACCUACCUAUAAGACUUGGAUAACUUCGGGAAACCGUAGCUAAUACCGGAUAAUAUAUUGAACCUCAUGUUUCAAUAGUGAAAGACGGUUUUGCUGUCACUUAUAGAUUGAUCCUCGCCGCAUUAGCUAGUUGGUAAGGUAACGGCUUACCAAGGCAACGAUGCGUAGCCGACCUGAGAGGGUGAUCGGACACACUGGAACUGAGACACGGUCCAGACUCCUACGGGAGGCAGCAGUAGGGAAUCUUCCGCAAUGGGCGAAAGCAUGACGGAGCAAAGCCGCGUGAGUGAUGAAGGUCUUCGGAUCGUAAAACUCUGUUAUUAGGGAAGAAAAAAUGUGUAAGUAACUAUGCACGUCUUGACGGUAACUAAUCAGAAAGCCACGGCUAACUACGUG